ensembl:lncRNA
GAAGAAUUUAGGGCAAUUCCUCUUUUCUCAGUUCAUGGGGAACUCUGCUUAUUUUAAAACAGAAGAGAUGGCCAAAAAACACAUGAAAAGAUGCUCAACAUUACUAAUUUUUAGAGAAAUGCAAAUCAAGUCUACAAUGAGGUAUCACCUCAUGCCAGUCAAAACGGCCACCAUUUAAAAGUUUCCAAAAGACAAAUAUUGGAGAAGGUGAGGAGAAAGGGGGCCCCUCCUGGUGCACAACUGCACUCUUCACAAGCUAGCAAGGUUAUCCUCAAAAUUCUUCAUGGUAGGCUUCAGCGGUACGUGAACUGGGAAUUUCCAGAUGUACAAACUGGGUUUAGAAAAGGCAAAGGAAGCAGAGAUCAAAUUGCCAACAUUUGUUAGAUCAUGGAGAAAGCAAGGGAGUUCCAGAAAAGCAUCUACUUCUGCUUCAUUGACUACGCUAAAGCCUUUGACUAUGUGGAUCACAACAAACUUUGGAAAAUUCCAAGAGAUGGGAGUACCAGACCACCUUACCCACCUCCUGAGAAACCUGGAUGUGGAUUAAGAAGCAACGUUAGAACCUUACAUGAAACAGUGGACUGGUUCAAAAUUGGGAAAGGAGUAUGACAAGGCUGUAUAUAUCAUCACCCUGCUUAUUUAACUUCCAUGCAGGGUACAUCAUGUGAAAUGCCGUGAUGGAUGAAGCACAAGCUGGAAUCAAGAUUCCCGGGAGAAAUAUCGACAACUUCAGAUAUGCAGAUGAUACCACUCUGGUGACAGAAGGUGAAGAGAAAUGAAAGAAUCUCUUGAAGAGCGUGAAAGGGGAGAGUGAAAAAGCUAGCUUGAAACUCAGUAUUAAAAAAAAACUAAGAUCAUGGCAUCUGGUCCCAUACUUCAUGCCAUGAAAUUAAAGGAUGCUUGCUCCUUGGAAGGAAAGCUGUAACAAACGUAGACAGCAUAUUAAAAAGCAGAGACAUCACUUUGCUGACAGAAUUCUGUGUAGUGAAAGCUAUUGUUUUUCCAGUAGUCAUGUAUGGUUGUGAAAGCUGGGCCAUAAAGAAGGCUGAGCACUAAAUAAUUGAUGCUUUUGAAUUGUGGUGCUGGAAAAGACUCCCGAGAAUCCCUUGGACUGCAAGGAGAUCAAACCAGUCAAUCCUAAAGGAAAUCAACCCUGAGUAUUCAUUGGAAGCACUGAUGCUGAAGCCCCAGUACUUUGGCCAGCUACCUGAUGGGAAGAGCCAACUCACUGGAAAAGGCCCUGAUGCUUGGAAAGAUUGAAGGCAAAAUGAGAAGGGGGCAACAGAGCAUGAGGUGGUUAGAUCGCAUCACUGAUUCAAUGGACGUGAGUCUGAGCAAACUCUGGCAGAUAGUGGAGGACAGAGGAGGCUGGUGUGCUGCAGUCCAUGGAGUCACAAAGAGUUGGACACAACUUAGUGACUGAACCCCACCACCCACCUGCCCAGUUGGUGGGAAUAU